CACGUAGGGUGCAAGCGUUGUCCGGAAUUAUUGGGCGUAAAGGGCUCGUAGGCGGUCCGUCACGUCGGGAGUGAAAACUCGGGGCUCAACCCCGAGCCUGCUUCCGAUACGGGCGGACUAGAGGUAGGUAGGGGAGAACGGAAUUCCUGGUGUAGCGGUGAAAUGCGCAGAUAUCAGGAGGAACACCGAUGGCGAAGGCAGGUCUCUGGGCCACUACUGACGCUGAGAAGCGAAAGCAUGGGGAGCGAACAGG
rnacentral:rRNA from 1 species